GUUUACUUUUUACUACCAAGUACCAACUGAAACGAAAGGAGAUAUUUGUGGGUUGCGAAAAAUCAAAGCAUGGAAGUGGUAGUGGAAGUGGAAGGUGAAGAUGGUUCCAAGCUCUCAAUCGGAAAUGACGAGGAAGCAGUGUUGGGACGAGGGUGUGGAUUCAACACCCACGACCGCACGGUUUCUCGUCGUCACGUGUCCUUUCGACUCGACCAUUCAGACUCGGAGGGUGCUAAGGCUAGGGUUUCGUUCCAAGUGAUGGGGAAGAACCCGUUUUGGGUGUACGAUGGAGAAGCGCUUCGGCUCUUCAGAAGCUUCGAGAAGGGUCAUUUGCAACUCGGACACCGUUUCUGCUUCUCUUCCAACUCACCCAUCUGGUUCACUAUCAACAACACUCAACCUCUUAACCUCGACGCAAUUCACGUUUCGGAAAUUGAUCCUGUCAAAGAGUUUGGUUUUCUUGUGAUGGGGCACGAGUUUGACCACUAUCCCAAGGGGAUGAUCCGGAAUGCAACGAAUUGGGAGUGGUUCAUUGAGGAACCUGGAAAAGAUAGUGAUGAGGAGGAGGAAUUUGAGAAGGGAAGGAGGAAAAUGAGGGGAAAACGGAAGUUUGGUAAGGUCAAUGAAGAUGAUGAAUGGACUGGUGAUAGUGAAGAUGAUAAGGACCUUGUUGCCAAUGUGCGGAAAGGUAAGCAGCCCAGGUACUCCACAAGGUCAAAAGGUGGUAAAGGAGGUAAUAAAGAUACCAAAGCUAGUAAAAAUUCUAAGCAAAAGAAAGCAGCUAGUGUUGGUGAAACUGUUGAAGAAGAAGAUGAUGACGACGAGACUCUGGGAGGCUUCAUUGUUACUGAUGAAGAUGCUGAUAAGGAGGAGGAAAAUGAUGAAGAUGAAGAAGAGGAAGAGUUUGAAGAUGAUGAUGAUGAAAUGGAGGAUUAAUGUCAAGAAUCUUUGUAGAAUGCUUCUACUGCCGAAAGGUGCAUGGAAGCACCCUUCUAAUUCGAAUGUAUGGUCUACCAAAAAACAUAAACAGGUUUACUUGCAACUUGUUAAACAGGUAUCUGGGUUUCCCAUCUGUCUCAGACAUCCCUGAAGGACAAUUGGAGCCUCCAAGAAACCAUCCAAUUGAGCAAAUUCAUGACCCCAAAAAUGCCCUGAAAGAGUUUACUUCAGUAAAAGUGUAUUCGUGCAGGUGCACCUUGACAAGCCGUUCUUGGCAUGUAGGCGUUCAGCCAAGCUUGAGAUUUUGAUAGCAGAAGUGGAAUGGGGUAUCAAAAGCAAAAAGAACGUGACUGAGUUCACUUCAUGUGCUACCAAAAGUGCAGAUCUGAACACUAUACUGAAAGAGUAGAAAAAGAUGAUAUGGGUCCUAAUAGAAGCACGUAAAGAGAAACUCUUUCGUGGGGGUUUUGUGGUUUUUUUUUUUAUCGUAUUUAAUAUAUUGAAAUUGCAGCGGUAUGUAUGGGUCAAGAUACAACUACUUGAAUACCAUUUUGAAUAUCAUAUUAUGUAUGGGGAGGCUUUGAAUUUUUGGCGCUCUCUCUCCUUCCACUGAAGAAAACACCAUUGAUGAAGAACUUGAAGAAUAUUCCAAUAUUCUUGGGAUGGAAAAAAGGCAUUCCCACUUGAAUUCUCCGAUCUUUAUUGUUAAUUGUAAUAUUGCGAUUUAGUUUU